GAUGAACGCUGGCGGCGUGCCUAAUACAUGCAAGUCGAGCGAACAGACGAGGAGCUUGCUCCUCUGACGUUAGCGGCGGACGGGUGAGUAACACGUGGAUAACCUACCUAUAAGACUGGGAUAACUUCGGGAAACCGGAGCUAAUACCGGAUAAUCUAUUGAACCGCAUGGUUCAAUAGUGAAAGACGGUUUUGCUGUCACUUAUAGAUGGAUCCGCGCCGCAUUAGCUAGUUGGUAAGGUAACGGCUUACCAAGGCAACGAUGCGUAGCCGACCUGAGAGGGUGAUCGGCCACACUGGAACUGAGACACGGUCCAGACUCCUACGGGAGGCAGCAGUAGGGAAUCUUCCGCAAUGGGCGAAAGCUUGACGGAGCAACGCCGCGUGAGUGAUGAAGGUCUUCGGAUCGUAAAACUCUGUUAUUAGGGAAGAACAAAUGUGUAAGUAACUAUGCACGUCUUGACGGUACCUAAUCAGAAAGCCACGGCUAACUACGUG
rnacentral:rRNA from 1 species